GUGCAGCAGGCGCGAAACCUCCGCAAUGCGCGAAAGCGCGACGGGGCCACCCCGAGUGCCGCCCGCUGAGGGCGGCUUUUCCCCGGUGUAGAUAGGCCGGGGGAAUAAGGGGAGGGCAAGUCUGGUGUCAGCCGCCGCGGUAAUACCAGCUCCCCGAGUGGUGGGGACGAUUAUUGGGCCUAAAGCGUCCGUAGCCGGCCCGGCAAGUCUCCCGUUAAAUCCAGCGAUCUAAUCGCUGGACUGCGGGAGAUACUGUCGGGGCUAGGGGGCGGGAGAGGCCGGCGGUAUUCCCGGGGUAGGGGUGAAAUCCUAUAAUCCCGGGAGGACCACCAGUGGCGAAGGCUGCCGGCUGGAACGCGCCGACGGUGAGGACG
rnacentral:rRNA from 1 species